ACUUUUCAUCGUCAGCCAAUUAGAAUAGUUGAAUUAUGUUGCUUCAGUGUGUUUGGACAAUGUCAUGGUCAAUUAUACACUCCUGUAUUUUAAGCCAGUGUGACGUACAUCCAGUGCUGUCAACUUGGC